AUUGAACGCUGGCGGCAUGCCUUACACAUGCAAGUCGAACGGCAGCGCGGACUUCGGUCUGGCGGCGAGUGGCGAACGGGUGAGUAAUACAUCGGAACGUACCCUGUUGUGGGGGAUAACUAGUCGAAAGAUUAGCUAAUACCGCAUACGACCUGAGGGUGAAAGUGGGGGACCGCAAGGCCUCACGCAGCAGGAGCGGCCGAUGUCUGAUUAGCUAGUUGGUGGGAUAAAGGCCCACCAAGGCGACGAUCAGUAGCUGGUCUGCGAGGACGAUCAGCCACACUGGGACGGAGCCACGGCCCAGACUCCUACGGGAGGCAGCAGUGGGGAAUUUUGGACAAUGGGGGCAACCCUGCUCCAGCAAUGCCGCGUGUGUGAAGGAGGCCUUCGGGUUGUAAAGCACUUUUGUCCGGAAAGAAAUCGCGCUGGUUAAUACCUGGCGUGGAUGACGGUACCGGAAGAAUAAGCACCGGCUAACUACGUGCCAGCAGCAGCCGCCG
rnacentral:rRNA from 1 species